GGGUGGGGCCGCCCCGGUGCGGUUAGGGACGAACAAAAGGAGCCGGAGCCGGCGUGAGGGAGGGCGGAGGCCAGGGAAGCUGUUCCCAUGGCGUGUGGGGAAUGCAACGGUUCAGCACCUGCUCAGGAUCCAGCACGCAGGAAUAUCAUCCACUUCCAGCACAGAGAACUGAAGUGCAGAUAGCAGAACCCAGCUGCAGGGUGAAUCAUGAUUCCAGUCACUGAGUUGCGCUACUUUGCUGACACCCAGCCCGCGUACCGCAUCCUGAAGCCAUGGUGGGACGUCUUCACCGACUACAUCUCCAUAGUGAUGCUGAUGAUUGCAGUGUUUGGAGGGACACUUCAGGUCACCCAGGACAAAAUGAUUUGUCUGCCCUGUAAAUGGAUUACCAAAGACUCUUGCAAUGACUCAGUCAGAGGUUGGACAGCUGCAACCCCAGAGCGUACCUACUAUAACUCUAGUCUUGUUCCCUCUACUGAUAUAGGGCCUACAGGGAUACGAUACGAUUUGGACCGGCACCAGUAUAACUACGUGGAUGCGGUGUGUUAUGAGAACCGUCUUCACUGGUUUGCCAAGUAUUUUCCUUAUCUGGUGCUGCUACAUACUCUCAUCUUCCUGGCAUGUAGCAACUUCUGGUUCAAAUUCCCAAGGACCAGCUCCAAGCUGGAGCAUUUUGUGUCUAUUUUGCUUAAGUGUUUUGACUCUCCAUGGACAACAAGGGCAUUAUCUGAGACAGUGGUGGAAGAGAGUGAUACCAAGCCAGCAUUUGGGAAAAUGAAUGGCUCAAUGGACAAGAAAUCCUCCACGGUCAGUGAGGAUGUGGAAGCCACUGUUCCUAUGCUGCAGAGAACAAAGUCUCGGAUUGAACAAGGGAUUGUGGACCGGUCUGAGACUGGUGUCUUGGACAAGAAGGAGGGUGAACAGGCCAAAGCACUCUUUGAGAAAGUGAAGAAGUUCCGCACACACGUGGAAGAGGGAGAUAUAGUUUAUCGCUUGUACAUGAGACAGACCAUCAUCAAAGUGAUCAAGUUCAUUCUGAUCAUCUGCUAUACUGUUUACUAUGUCAACAACAUAACUUUUGAUGUUGACUGUAAAGUGGACAUUGAGAGCUUGACUGGCUACAGGAUGUACCGCUGUGCUCAUCCUUUGGCCACUCUCUUCAAGAUUCUGGCCUCUUUCUACAUCAGUCUGGUGAUAUUCUAUGGCUUGAUCUGCAUGUACACACUCUGGUGGAUGUUGAGGCGAUCACUCAAGAAAUACUCCUUUGAGUCCAUCCGGGAGGAGAGCAGUUACAGUGACAUCCCUGAUGUGAAAAAUGACUUUGCUUUUAUGCUCCAUCUGAUUGAUCAGUAUGACCCCCUCUACUCCAAGCGCUUCGCUGUCUUUCUGUCGGAGGUGAGUGAGAACAAACUGCGGCAGCUGAACCUCAACAAUGAGUGGACUUUGGAGAAGCUGCGUCAAAGGAUCACCAAGAACUCCCAGGAUAAGCUGGAACUGCAUCUUUUCAUGUUGAGCGGCAUCCCUGACACGGUUUUUGACCUCAUUGAGUUAGAGGUCUUGAAGCUGGAGCUUAUCCCUGAUGUCACUAUUCCCCCAAGCAUUGCUCAGCUCACCAGCCUUAAGGAACUGUGGCUCUACCACACAGCUGCCAAAAUUGAGGCUCCAGCUCUUGCCUUCUUAAGGGAGAAUUUGAAAUCUCUCCACAUCAAGUUCACAGACAUUAAGGAGAUUCCACUUUGGAUUUAUAGCCUGAAGACACUAGAGGAGCUUCAUUUGACAGGGAAUUUGAGUGCUGAAAACAACCGGUACAUUGUGAUAGAUGGCUUGAGGGAACUGAAGAGGCUGAAGGUGUUGAGGUUGAAGAGUAACCUCACCAAGCUGCCGCAGGUGGUGACAGAUGUUGGCGUGCAUCUUCAGAAGCUUUCCAUCAACAAUGAGGGCACCAAGCUUAUUGUUCUCAACAGCCUUAAGAAAAUGGUCAACUUGACAGAGCUUGAGCUGAUCCGUUGUGACUUGGAACGAAUUCCUCACUCUAUCUUUAGCCUCCACAAUCUGCAGGAGAUAGACCUGAAGGACAACAACCUAAAGACCAUUGAGGAAAUCAUCAGCUUCCAGCACUUACAUCGUCUCACUUGCCUUAAAUUGUGGUACAACCACAUUGCCUACAUCCCCAUGCAGAUAGGCAACCUCACUAACUUAGAGCGCCUUUACCUGAACCGUAACAAGAUAGAGAAGAUCCCCACCCAGCUCUUCUAUUGCCGGAAACUUCGCUAUUUAGAUCUCAGCCACAACAACUUGACUUUUAUACCACCAGAUGUUGGACUUCUUCAAAACCUGCAGAAUCUGGCUGUGACAGCCAACAGGAUUGAGAGUCUCCCACCAGAGCUGUUCCAGUGCAGGAAGCUGAGAACAUUGAACCUGGGAAACAAUGUGCUGCAGUCACUUCCAUCCCGGGUUGGAGAGCUCACAAACCUGUCACAGAUAGAACUACGAGGGAACCGCUUGGAGUGCCUGCCUGUGGAGCUGGGGGAAUGUCCUCUGCUGAAACGCAGUGGGCUUGUGGUAGAGGAGGACCUGUUCAACACACUGCCCUUGGAAGUCAAAGAGCGGCUGUGGAGGGCAGACAAAGAGCAAGCGUGAACCCCUGAAAAAAAGGGAAAAGCCUCUGACCAGCUAGAAGGAAACAAAAGGCCAUUCCAGUCCCCUUUUUCCCCAGAUCCUUCCCUUUCUCCCCUCUGAUCACUACCAGACUAGCCAAGGAGUCCCUGAAUAAACAUGACUCUGAGGCUGCCUCUUGCCUCAGAUGCAGGAUGGGGGAAGCUUGGGAUCAGGAUGAGGAUCAAGACAGAUUAGUUGGCCUCUGAGCAAGGGCCAGUGAGAGUAGGAGGUGUUGCUGUUCUUCUGGACAGGAAGUGGGAUGAGGUGGAUGGUGCUGCUGAGAAGAAAAUGACCUUUGAAUAGAGGAGAGAAGGAAAUGUGGGGAUUGCUGCAUUGCUCCAAAUAGGGCUUAUACAUGUCAGGGACUGAGAAUGUCCAGUGUCCUGCAAGCAAAGAUCAAGAGACUAGGAAACCUCUUGAGCCUCCAUCUCUGUGGCACUUGGUACUGUCUCCCUCUGACUCAGAGAUUCAGUCAGUGAGGCCCUGCAGUGGGGUGGGAUGGGAUACAAACAGCUCACUUCAUCUUGAUGCUGGCAUUAGGAUUUGGGGGAUAAGUUUAUCUCGGACAUGAGCCUGAAUGCAGGAUUUAUUUUUUUUUUUUACUAAUUCUUUCCCCUUUGCACUCCCCACCUUCUCCUCUGCCUCUGGAGAAGGAACCAAACCCCCCCCCCAAGCUCUUAUCUGCUCAUUUAAGAUUGCACUAUUUUAACACUUCCAAGUCACUUGUGCUGAUGAGUGUAUCACACAGCAUCAUUCUCCAGCUGCUGUGCUGGAGGCACUAACUGACAUAAUUCCAGGGCUUUAGCCUGUUCUGAAAUGGAUGGUUAUAGUGAAAGUGGGAGAAGAUCUGAAUAAAAAGCAGUUGGACUGUCUAAUCUGUUCUCCCCGAAGCAUUGAGUAGCUUCAGGACCUGGCUUUUAAAGUUUUUAAGCUACUUUUAAAUUCGUGGUAUUUUGUCACAUAUCAAAUAUGAACAUACAACUGGCCCGUGUGUCAGGGUCUCUCCUGGGGUUGGUGGUGUUAGUAAAGAGGAAUACCCAGGUUUCCUCUGCACCUCUUGCCCUCCCCCCCUGCUUUCUCCCCUUAAGUUGUUAGAGGCUUUGCCAGUGUUUUUCAUGAAUGCAGUCUACAGAUCUGCUUGGUUGUUCUUUACUGUUGUCUUCCUCACUUCAGCAGCUGUCAGAUCCUGUGACAUCUCUUGACCUAAAUAAGAGGCUAAUGCUGAUUGAACCUGGUGCUGGAAAAGAAACCUGCCCUCCUUUUUCUUCUGCUUUUCAUUCCCUCAAGUGUUAAGGAGCGGUAUGAGAAUCCUCUGUGGACUGAGCUCUUCUAGAUCCCUGGGACAGAGCAGUCUUUAUUGAAACAAGUCUGACCUGUUUGGUAUUGUCUGACCAAAAAAACCCCAAGCUUCUGCACUGGCAGAGGUAGAUAACUUGUAAUAGCUACUGAUAAUCAUGUCCUUAAGGUGGAGUGGUUAAGGUGUGCCUACAAUACACCCUAAGUCUGCUCUUUUCCAUCAGAAGGAAGAAGGAGGCUCAUGGACCUGCAGGUCCUGGUUACAAUACUCUGCAUCAGACCAACAGGUUGGCUCCAAGGUGCAGUGCUGCAAGCUGAGGCACGAGAAGUUUGGAGGCCUCCUGUGUGUACAAAAGGGGGGAAACUGCAGCCAUCUCCAGAGUGGUUUCUGGACAAGAUGCCAGCAAGUGCCCUGGCUUGGCAAAUUGUGGUGAUCCCUUGGAUGUUGGGGCAAUAAGGCACGCUGUGGCUUUCUUCAUCAGAUAUACAGAUUCCAGCAUAUCAGUCUCAUACGAUGAGAUGGAAGAAGCUUUUAAAACUUCAAGGAUAAGGUCUAAACUGUGAGGUCCUGAAUGCGUUUACUGCUCAGGACUGCUGCAAAACUCAACCCACAGCAGAGUGAGUCAUCAACUUCCCAUACAUCUGGAUUGUUCAGUCUUUGAGGGAUGAGCUUACAUCAAGGAUCCUUUCUCACUUGCAAGUAUCCAAUCAGUGUAUAUUAUAUUUUCCUUUAAGUUUCUAUCAAACUAAAGUUUAGGGGGUUUAUUUCUGACACUGAUCUGUGUGUUGAGAAAAUGUUCCAACUUAAGCAGACGAUCAAUGGUCUGGUCAGUGUCUUGUUCUUCUGACAGGCUUUUCAAAGCACUAUAGUAAUAACAAACCACAUUAUUUAUUAGCUGCUAAACCAGACAAGUUGAAUUAAAACCAACUGUUUCCUUAAUAGCACUUCUGAGCUGAAUGAGUUCUUGGAGCCCCUGUAGAUCACGAGCAUGCUCAUCCCAUGUUAGGACCAAAGGUUAGUAAAAUGGAAUUCUAUUCUUCCUGCUGAAUACCCCAAAAAGUAAUACAUUGCAACUAAUUAUUUUGAACCAGCUGAAAGGUAAAGAAUACCAAACCUUGGAAAUGUGUUCAAUAUUGCUGCAUCUCUGAAACUGUGCACUGGAAUGUUAGCUGCAGUUAUUCUAUGUUUAAGUUUGUUUUCUGCUUUUAUUAUAUGGCCCCCAGUUAACUCAGCAGCUGGAAUUCAUUUUCUCUGCCAGUUUGAAUGGUUACAGGUAUCUUUCAUGAUGUGGUUUCUUUGGUAUUAAUUGUCACUUCCUGGGAAUAUCCUACCUCAUUUUUUAGUUUUAUUACCAUUUAUACAUCAUUUAGCUCACUUAAUUUUCAAGUUUUUGGUGUUCAUUACCAUAAAUAGUAUUAAGUGGCUUUCUGUUGCUGAACCACACUGAGGUCCUCUUAUUUUUUUACCCCUCUCUAACAAAUGAUUCUAGGAAUUCUGAGAACAAUAACACAUCCUUUACAGAGGAUGAGGUGUACGGAAAGAAGUUGCAACCAUUAUUGAUUCAACAGCUGUGACAUUGUUUCCUUUCCUUACCUUUUGUCUGCUUUGGAAAGGGACUCGCGUGGUUGGAGUUCUUUGGAUGGUUGAAAUUUUAGUUGUCCUUCAGAGGAGGAGUAACUUUUCUUCCUCAUUAAUAGCUGUGCCUUCUCUAGAGAGACAUUAAUGUAACCUUUCCACAGAGGCACUUGCUCCUUCGAGUGUGUUUGGACUAGUCUCUGCCUGAAGCCAGCUCUUCCCUCUGAUUCUUUUUCUUUCAACCAUGGAGAGAUUUCUUACCUUUUGGCCUGACGUCUCCCUAACAAACAAUAUUGUCGUUCCAUAAACUCUACUCCAAAACAGGGUAAAGUCAUCUACUCUGAAAUGUUACUGAAGGUAAGGCUGUGUGAAUGAUAACUAGUACAACCAUUGCUUAAACUUCACUUCUUUUUUUCUUCUCACGUUUUAGAAGGAAACUUCUUUCCCCACUGUUUGGCCACACAGUGGAUCCUGUAGUGUCACUAUGUAUGUGCCAAAACAGUUUUCUGUCCUACCUGCAUUCUUACAGAGCGUGAAGCAGAGCUGGGUCUGCACAAGAGCAUUGACUCAGACCUUUCUCCCUCCAGCUGCAGUGGUAGGUUAAUGUUCAACUGCUCCAGCAGCAUGAAAUCCUCCAGGUAUCUCUGCUCUGAAAUCCCAUUUCAAAAGUAGCUGUAUUUGAAUUGCUGGACCCCCAGUAGCAAAGGUGAAUUCACACAAAGAAAGGCUUAACUUAGGAUUUCUGGACUUGCCCUUCCCUUCUUCCCUCUCAGUCUCCUUUAAAGGAAUUUUAUUGAACAAUGGGGAAUUUUUUCUAGAGGAGACUUAAUGAGAAGGGGGCUAACGAGCCUGAGUCAUCCUUUAUAGCUGACAAAUGUGUCCAUUUAAGACGCUACUCAUGGCUUAAACAUUGUUCACUCCCAUUUUGUAAAUGCAUGAGCAGGGUUGUGGUUUGGCAUCCGAGACCUGCAACUUGAUGUAACAUUUCAGAAUCAUGACAUUCACUUUGUGUGUGGGAUUGUUUGGGCAGCUGAUCAACAGCACCUCCACCUUAAGCACUGAAGGCUGCUACUGUGUUCUCUGAAAGACUUGUAAGACUGGACACUUUAACAGAAUAAAAGUUUUACUUUUUGAUUUGCA